CGCUUGGGUCUCGUUCGUGCCUUUCAGGUUGAGUUUGCCAAGGAUUCUAAAGAGCAGAGUGCUGCUCCCAGUAAAGCGGAUAGCCUCCCACCAUUCACCACAGCUGUUCAGGAGCAGAAGAAUGCAGUGAAAGAGAUCGUGAUAGCAAACAUGGCUGCAGCAUACAAGCGAGAACAGAAAAGCGUGAAAAGGAAAAUGAGGAGCCUGCCAUCCCUUGCCUUUAAAGUGGAAGAUGGCGUGUUUGGUAACACCACUAACUCGUCCCUGAAGAAGUUGAAGAAGAGCCAGUUUAUGGCAUUUCAAAUCGAGACAGUCAUGUCACCUGAGCAGAAUACAUCUGGGAUGAAGAAAACCAGCUAAAUUCCAGGGUCUAACUCAGGGUCACUGGCAACUUUAGCAGGACGUGUUCUUUUGAGAUACCUGCAUGGAAGGUUCAUACUCAGACCUGGGUAGGUCUGUGGCACGGUGAAAGUUGAGUGAGCAUCAAAAUGGCCCCACUGCUGUCAUGCCUGAGCCCUUCUGAGCCGUCAUGGAUUCGUCCAUACAACAUCCCUGAGAGGUGUUGUUUUCCCCACUUUACAGAUAGGCCACAGAAGCAGAAAGCAUUGUAUUGAUUGGCUAAAAGCUCCACAGUAAGCAUGAUUAGGAUUGUGCGCAUGUUGGUGUAAAUCCGGAAUAACACCAUGAAAAUCAAAGUGGUGAUUAUGGCUGUAAAUGAGAGGAGAAUCUAGCACAAUUGAGAAUUGAACCCAGAUCUGUAUCCCAUUGACUUAGCUUGAAAUCAUCCUUCCUGCCAUUGAUCUAGAUUAUUACACUAGGGCUGUGUAUGUCCUUUGGGGUGUGUAAAUGGACUGAAAUACUCAUGUUCAUCCUGGAGGAGUAAAACCCAGAAAAUGAGAAGGUUUUUUUUUCUGAUUGCCUAGACAGAGAGAUACUUGAUCUUUGGCUUUUAGGUUUUACAUCCUGCUCUUCACUAAAACAGAAUGAAUUCUGAAAGUCCCAUACAGUCAGUUCUUAUGUUGUCUGGGUUACACAGUGUAGCAUGUAGAUCCAGAAAGGAAUGUUGAAUACUGCACUUGUGACAAAUAGCCUAGGUGUUAAUAUUGGUUUGUAUAUAAAGUAACUGUGUCCUAGCUCUGUGAUAAAGCUUAUACAGAGGAAGAGACUACAGCCAUAUCAUAGUUCUGAGAUACAUGGGCUAUUCUGAUUUUGAAAAGAAAUAUUUAUGUCAGCCCUUGGACUUUUUGAAACUGGGUCUCUUACAGCUCCUUUAGGGCUAGGGUUUAACUAAAAAUCCUCUUGAAGCAAUUCCUUGUUUAAAUCUAACUAUUUCCACUGGAUGCUAACAAAGCACUCUAAAGAAUAAAGCAUUUGGACUUUUUU